rnacentral:misc_RNA from 2 species
UAACCUUUCUCCUCCAAGGCUUUUUGGCCAAGGAGGGGAAAGAGCAUAACCGGUGGCCCAGCGGUCCUCCCAUCAGGGGGAUUGUCUCGGCUGGAAUGACUGUUGCAAUGGUGGGCCAAAUGGUCUCCCGCACUUGAUAAAUGUAACUUUUUAUAAAGAGCGGGGCCGGUCUGCCGAAAGUUGUAACUAAACCCUUUUAC